GUGGUGACUUCAGCAGCACAUGUACUAAAAUUGGAACCAUACAGGGAAGAUUAGCACGGCUCCUGCACAAGGAUGACAUGCAAAUACAUGCAGCAUUAGGUAAGCCC
rnacentral:snRNA from 1 species